rnacentral:rRNA from 1 species
AGCGAACGCUGGCGGCAGGCCUAACACAUGCAAGUCGAACGAACUCUUCGGAGUUAGUGGCGGACGGGUGAGUAACACGUGGGAACGUGCCUUUAGGUUCGGAAUAACUCAGGGAAACUUGUGCUAAUACCGAAUGUGCCCUUCGGGGGAAAGAUUUAUCGCCUUUAGAGCGGCCCGCGUCUGAUUAGCUAGUUGGUGAGGUAAAGGCUCACCAAGGCGACGAUCAGUAGCUGGUCUGAGAGGAUGAUCAGCCACAUUGGGACUGAGACACGGCCCAAACUCCUACGGGAGGCAGCAGUGGGGAAUCUUGCGCAAUGGGCGAAAGCCUGACGCAGCCAUGCCGCGUGAAUGAUGAAGGUCUUAGGAUUGUAAAAUUCUUUCACCGGGGACGAUAAUGACGGUACCCGGAGAAGAAGCCCCGGCUAACUUCGUU